UCUGUUCGUCCAACUACUUUCCAUUACUCUUGAAGUCAUUCACUAUAUAGAUUAGAAAUAAUUGUAAGGGGUCCCAGACUCCCAAUCCCAUUUUGGUUUCUGAGAAUUGUGGCUGUUUUCCUUCUCACCAAAAUCCUUCCGGUGGUGGUAAUUAUUAAACUGGGUAAACCGGCGCCGACCUCCCGGAGAAAAGCAAUUAUUGAAGAAGAGACAGUUUUAAUAAUGAAUGAAUUGAAUGGUGGGGGGGCCGGGCCGGGGGUCCCAUUUUAGCCGUAUCCUUCGGUAAUGCCGCCGCUCGCCGGAAGGUAAUGACGCCGUGACGGCUCCACCGCUCCGACUUUUGUUUGUAAUUGCUCAGAAAUGGAAAAUUGGGCACAGCGGAGGAAGAAGCGAUGAUUUGAUCAUAUCAUCCCCAACUGAGCAGAGAGUGGGCACGGGACCUACAUGCCAUUAGAAAGAUGAAUGGCUAUGAUUAUGCCAUGGAAUUGGGGAGAUGGUAAUCAUACACCGUUUAGUAUUAUGAUUGCUUCUCUUCCUUGUUAUGGGGUUUGAGUGAAAGUGAAGCCAACGAUUGAACACCCAACAUAUUUGUGAACUGUGACAUGUUUGAUGGUCUGUAAUGGGAUAACGUUAUAAUGGAACGUAACGUGAAAUCUAUCGUAGAACGUUAUUGUGUACUUGGUUCGUGACAGUUUGUAAUUCAAAUUUCACUCUUUCACAGUCUUAGUGUGACCAACA